rnacentral:rRNA from 1 species
UACGGAGGGGGCUAGCGUUGUUCGGAAUUACUGGGCGUAAAGCGCACGUAGGCGGCUUUGUAAGUUAGAGGUGAAAGCCCGGGGCUCAACUCCGGAAUUGCCUUUAAGACUGCAUCGCUCGAAUUGUGGAGAGGUAAGUGGAAUUCCGAGUGUAGAGGUGAAAUUCGUAGAUAUUCGGAAGAACACCGGUGGCGAAGGCGGCGACCUGGUCCUUGACUGACGCUGAGGCGCGAAAGCGUGGGGAGCAAACAGG